UUUGGAGCUGGCGCGGGCUGCGGUAAGGGGGUCCCAAAGGACCUGCCAGCAGAUCAGAGGGUCUUUGCUGGGUCCCUUGAGUAAGACAGACCGUGAGGAUGGAAAAGCAGGACGCCUGAUAGCAGCACCGUGGGGAUGCUGAUGGGAGUUUUGUCAAGGGAAGGCUGAGAAGCCAGAGUGAUGACUGUGGUGUAAAGUUGACUAAUGCACGUUGACGGGCGUCAGAUUCAAACUAGCUGCCUAAAAUCCCGUUUUCGAGCAGUAACUGCUUGAUCAAGCCGUUCAGCACCAAGGGGAAGAAAAAAGCCCAAGCGGUGUGUUGGAUCAGAUACAGAUUUCCGAGAGUUCCUGGGAAGGAAGGGGCAAGGGAUGUUUGGGUUAGACAGAGCUGCAAAAUUAUAUUCCAGGCCUGUAGCAGCUGCACACACAAGCAAGCUUGCAGACGCUGUGGGAUCCAGAAUGAAAUGAGCCCUGCCAUCCCCGUGCUUCCUCAAGUAAUUAUUACAUGCGUUGCACCCUAAUGAGAACCUGCUCCAUUUUCUCAUCCCUCCACUCUGCUGCUCUUUCCUCAUGCUGCUGCUUCGGAGCUCUUCUUUGGAAAAACCAUCUGGCAAAGGGCUGAUAUUUUAUUUAAAAAAAAAAAAAAAAAAAAAAAAAAAAAGAGUAAUCUUUGGAAAUUAGUAGUUUUGCUGUGCGUUAUUAUGCUUACGAUCCUCUAAUUUGUUAAUAAGUCUCUAAUCAUAGCCAUGCAGAAUGAGAAGGAGAGCCAGCCAGGAAAGGUGCCCCUCGGGUUUUCCCAGUACGGCAGCCACAGCCCAUCGAUUCCACGACUGGUCCCCAGGCAGGGCGGGGAGGAGAUGGCCCUUCCAGCAGCGGCGGCGAGGACCUGCGUGAGACCCAGCGCUGACAGGAAUACGAAAUCAGCAAUUCCCAGCGCCGACGUCAGACCGAAGGAAUGUGACCACGUCCCGGUAAUGUAAAGCCGUUCUCGAAACGGAGUCAAACAUCGAUCACUGGUGCGAAACCCCUGAAACAAGAGACGUCGCCACGGGCAGCUCAGGGGAGUCGCUGCGUGACGGAGCCGUUCUGGACAGCAGGGCAAUGCGGGCCACGGAUUUUAAUGCAUCGUCAUCCUGGUUCAGGUUUUCUCAGUGUAGCAUAGGAAGGAGGACGGUCCGAGGGGCUCCUGGCCCGGUGGUCAGAUAGGUGGUAAAACCGUGUUUUACAGAUGUAAAGGGUGUCAGGGUGUUUCAGCUGGCCGGCCCCUUCCACCAGCUGUAGUAGGUAGAAAAUGUACGACGUUAAGAUUUAAAAAAAUGCUCGGAAGGGGGAGGGAAAAAACAAAACAAAACAAAACAACAAAACAACAAAAUAAAUAAAGCACAGGGAUGGGACGGGGUGGCAGACCCUCUCUCCAGCCUCUGUGACAGCAGCCUUGGACACCCAGCGCGGCGCCGGAGCUGCCGAGGAGCGGCGGGUGCAGGAGCCCGGCGGUGAGGCCGAGCCUGCGGUGGUUGUGGUGGCGGAGGAGCCCGGUGUCAGCGCUGGGAAAAGACAGACGAACGCUCAGAGCACCGCCUGACCCCUCGGGUCCCAUCCUCAGCCCCGCAGCGGGGCCGGCGCCGUACGUACUCCGGCAUUCCCGUGGGAGAUGAACCCGUGGAGGCACAAGACGAGUCUCGGACUCCUCUUCAGCCGGCGCGCGCGAGGGUGGGCGAGCGCUCGCCUCCGAGGCUGCACGUCAGCGCCGCUCCGCCGGCAGCCAGCGCCGGGGAGGAGGAGUGGGGGCGAGAUGCCUUUCUGCGGAAAGUGCUUCCGACGCCCACCCCGAAAAACCUCUGGGAUUGACGUGAUCUUUGCCACCUCAGAGUGAAAGGUGUGCGGUUGCUCGGGGCGCCGCAGGUACAGGUGGCACCGACCCCAGUCCUGGUAACAAACCUCGCCUGCACCGCGGCUACCUGCCGGCUGGCGCGCGGCUCUCCCCGGCGCGAAGGGGUAACCGAAACGCGCCGCCUCGCCUGCGAGCCCACGCCGCCGGGGGGGCUCUUUGCAUUUCAAACGGCGAGGCGAGCGGUUCAUAUUCGCGCCACGAUCAGCAGGCAUCUCCGAGGGCGAGCGCUGCCCUGCCACCGCGCGGGUUCUGCCUGCCAGCCUCGCCGCCUCGGCUGCAAUAUGGAAAUGAUCCUCCCCAGCAGACAGCAGAGUCCCACCUCGGUUCCCAUUCACCUGGAGAUGAAAGUGCUCUGGGUGCCCGUGUAGGCGGGGCAAAACUAUUUAAAAACCUCAUUAGAGAAAGUAUUUGGGGAAGACAGCAACACCCUCAGUUGUGGUUUGCUCCAGGACUUCUCAGCCAGAUCGCUUCUGAUACAGAGGGAAGGGCACUGUGAGAGACAUUCCUCUCAACUCGUACUUCUCGUAGGGAUGCCUGGGGUGCACUUUGCCCUUUGCUCUGUCCCGGUGGGCUGUAUUUUCCACGUAAACAUGAGCACGUUCCCCUCCAGGUGCUGUUUAGGUGAGGAGCCCGACUGCAGCGUGGCAUCGGGGUCCUGUUCCGCGCCGGAGGAACGCAGUCGGCAAAACUGUGUGUCGCCUCGGUUAGGCGCAAAUCCGCUGGGAAUAUUUCCCAUUCCGUUUCAUUCCCGAUUGUGCUUAUUUCAGCUGAAUUUGCAGCAGGAGUAAUGCCCAAGCCACAUCUGGCUCGUGAUGCACGUGGGAUCAGACCGGGAGUUUGGGAGGAGGUGGAUCUGGAUUCAGAGGUUUGGCUUCUUAUUUAGAAAAUGACUGGUUACAUUCUCCCACGGCUGCUCCAGACUACCCCAGAGCUUAAUGAUAUUCAUGUCCAAGUGUUUUUUAAGUCUGCAUGACUAGGAAACAAUCUCAUGUGUAUGGUUUGUCUAGCCUGUUACUAAGAAGCCCGUGCACCUGCAUUUCCCCUACCGCCUGCGUUUGCUUUGCGUCCCAUUUAUUCGAGGGGGUCAAAAGUUUGGUAAUUCCUAGUGAAUCGGGGUGCCAAUAAUCCCUUUUUUCUCUCCCAGCUGGGCUCCCCCACGGCCCCUCCUGAGCCCCAGCCGAGCUGCUGUGCUCUUCACCUCCGCCACCAGCCCUACCGCCGCCGCGAGUGGUAUUGACAGCUUGAACCAAGUCGUGUCCCCCCCCCCCCAAAAAAACUGAUCAGCCGGCGCCUGGCGUGAGCCUGCAGAUCACACAGACCUUGUCCAACGGGCUCGAGGUUCAGAGGUCAAGGUUUAACUCAUCUGUGUCCUGACGUGAACUGCAGGAGGAACAUCCCCCCUGGUCUCUUCUUCUGCCUGUUGCGGCUUUAUUUUAUUAUUAUUUUUAGGAGGGGUGUGUGUGUGUGUGUGUGUGUAAUUUUUUUAAUCCAGUUGAGAGAACUUUUUAUGUUAAUAUUUGACUCAGGUGUGAUGUCGUUUGGCUCUGUAGCCGUUACCUACAUCCCCCAGAAAGAAUAAAAUCUCCCCAGAC